rnacentral:rRNA from 1 species
UACGUAGGGGGCAAGCGUUGUCCGGAUUUAUUGGGCGUAAAGAGCGUGUAGGCGGCCAGACAGGUCCGUUGUGAAAACUCGAGGCUCAACCUCGAGAUGUCGAUGGAAACCGUCUGGCUAGAGUCCGGAAGAGGAGUGUGGAAUUCCUGGUGUAGCGGUGAAAUGCGCAGAUAUCAGGAAGAACACCUAUGGCGAAGGCAGCACUCUGGGACGGUACUGACGCUGAGACGCGAAAGCAUGGGGAGCGAACAGG